rnacentral:rRNA from 1 species
UACGUAGGGGGCAAGCGUUGUCCGGAUUUAUUGGGCGUAAAGAGCGUGUAGGCGGCCAGGUAGGUCUGCUGUGAAAACUCGGGGCUUAACCUCGAGAUGUCGGCGGAAACCAUCUGGCUAGAGUCCGGAAGAGGAGAAUGGAAUUCCCGGUGUAGCGGUGAAAUGCGCAGAUAUCGGGAAGAACACCCGUGGCGAAGGCGGUUCUCUGGGACGGUACUGACGCUGAGACGCGAAAGCGUGGGGAGCGAACAGG